UACCACGCUGGGCCGGGCCACAAGAACAGUCCUGCCUCCUUUCUUGCUCCUGGGUGAUGAGCUUUCCAGGGCGACUUGUACCAUGUACGCCGCCAGGUGGUGCCAUCAGCCCUGUUGAGCCCGGUGUGGUUCCUAUAAGGAUGCCUCAGGACUGAGCGGCCUUGGACUACCAAAUGAAUUCCCCAGGAGACCUUGGGCAGUUUACCAUAAUAGCAGAAAUUGUGAAACUGGCCUUGGACUUCAGCCCCUGCCUGGUAAGUCAUUUUAAUAACUCUUGGCUUAUGACAGGAGAUGUGCUAGGGAUCCCAUAGAAAACAGACCAGCCACAGUCCUGUCCUCAUGGGGCUUAGGGUUAAGAUCAGAACUUUGUCAGAAAAUCUGGGUCCCCCAAUAUAUUUUCAGAGAGGUCAGUUUCUUCUGUCUUUCUAUGUGUCCCAUGUUGAGAAAUGUUUCUAAG
rnacentral:lncRNA from 1 species